GGUCCAGCAUUUCUGUGUUCUCAAAUAAAAUGCUGUGUCCAGGUUGGUUCAUCAGGUGCUCUGCUAUGGCUGAUUUCUCAGGGCGGCUUACAUGAGGCCA